UGCAUGUCUAAGUAUAAGCAAUUAUACGGCGAAACUGCGAAUGGCUCAUUAAAUCAGUUAUUGUUUAUUUGAUAGUACCUUACUACUUGGAUAACCGUGGUAAUUCUAGAGCUAAUACAUGCUAAAAACCCCGACUUCGGGAGGGGUGUAUUUAUUAGAUUAAAAACCAAUGCCCUCCGGGGCUUCUUGGUGAUUCAUGAUAACUUCUCGGAUCGCACGGCCUUGCGCCGGCGACGGUUCAUUCAAAUUUCUGCCCUAUCAACUUUCGACGGCUGGGUAUUGGCCAGCCGUGGUGACAACGGGUAACGGAGGGUUAGGGCUCGACCCCGGAGAAAACGCCUGAGAAACGGCGUUUACAUCCAAGGAAGGCAGCAGGCGCGCAAAUUACCCAAUGCCGACUCGGCGAGGUAGUGACGAUAAAUACUGGUACGGGGCUCUUUCGGGUCUCGUAACUGGAAUGAGUACAAUUUAAAUCCCUUAACGAGGAACAAUUGGAGGGCAAGUCUGGUGCCAGCAGCCGCGGUAAUUCCAGCUCCAAUAGCGUAUAUUAAAAUUGUUGAGAUUAAAAAGCUCGUAGUUGAACCUUGGGCCUGGCUGGCCGGUCCGCCUCACCGCGUGCACUGGUCCGGCCGGGCCUUUCCCUCCGGGGAACCCCAUGCCCUUCACUGGGCGUGGCGGGGAACCGGGACUUUUACUUUGAAAAAAUUAGAGUGUUCAAAGCAGGCCUAUGCUCGGAUACAUUAGCAUGGAAUAAUAGAAUAGGACGUGUGGUUCUAUUUUGUUGGUUUCUAGGACCGCCGUAAUGAUUAAUAGGGACAGUCGGGGGCGUCAGUAUUCAAUUGUCAGAGGUGAAAUUCUUGGAUUUAUUGAAGACUAACUACUGCGAAGGCAUUCGUCAAGGAUGUUUUCAUUAAUCAGGAACGAAAGUUAGGGGAUCGAAGACGAUCAGAUACCGUCGUAGUCUUAACCGUAAACUAUUAAGUCUAGGGAUCGGACGGUGGUUCUAUUUGCCCCGUCCGGCACCUUACACGAAAGUAUAAGAGCUUAUUCUGGGGAAAUACGG
rnacentral:rRNA from 1 species